rnacentral:rRNA from 1 species
GAUGAACGCUGGCGGCGUGCUUAACACAUGCAAGUCGAACGAAGCACUUUAUUUGAUUUCCUUCGGGACUGAUUAUUUUGUGACUGAGUGGCGGACGGGUGAGUAACGCGUGGGUAACCUGCCUUGUACAGGGGGAUAACAGUUGGAAACGGCUGCGAAUACCGCAUAAGCGCACGGCAUCGCAUGAUGCAGUGUGAAAAACUCCGGUGGUAUAAGAUGGACCCGCGUUGGAUUAGCUAGUUGGUGAGGUAACGGCCCACCAAGGCGACGAUCCAUAGCCGACCUGAGAGGGUGACCGGCCACAUUGGGACUGAGACACGGCCCAAACUCCUACGGGAGGCAGCAGUGGGGAAUAUUGCACAAUGGGCGAAAGCCUGAUGCAGCGACGCCGCGUGAGCGAAGAAGUAUUUCGGUAUGUAAAGCUCUAUCAGCAGGGAAGAUAAUGACGGUACCUGACUAAGAAGCACCGGCUAAAUACGU